AAUAUUGGACAAUGGGCGAAAGCCUGAUGCAGCGACGCCGCGUGAGGGAUGACGGCCUUCGGGUUGUAAACCUCUUUCAGCAGGGAAGAAGCGAAAGUGACGGUACCUGCAGAAGAAGCCCCGGCCAACUACGUGCCAGCAGCCGCGGUAAUACGUAGGGGGCAAGCGUUGUCCGGAUUUAUUGGGCGUAAAGAGCUCGUAGGCGGCUUGGCAAGUCGGGUGUGAAAACUUCAGGCUCAACCUGGAGAUGGCACUCGAUACUGCUAUGGCUAGAGUCCGGUAGGGGACCACGGAAUUCCUGGUGUAGCGGUGAAAUGCGCAGAUAUCAGGAGGAACACCGGUGGCGAAGGCGGUGGUCUGGGCCGGCACUGACGCUGAGGAGCGAAAGCGUGGGGAGCAAAC
rnacentral:rRNA from 1 species